rnacentral:rRNA from 1 species
AUGACGGUGUUCCACUUCCUCAACUGCGCGGUCCUCACCUUCGGCCCCCACGUCGUCUACUACUCCGCCACCCCCCUGUCAGAGUAUGACACGAUUGGCACCAGUGUAAAAGCAGCUGUUGUUUAUCUUGGAGCAGCACUUGUAAAGCUUGUUUGUUUAGCAACGUUCCUCAAAGUACCUGAUGCGAAUGAUAGCUUUGAUCCCUACCAGGAAUUAAUGAAAAUUCUAAUUGGGUUUAUAGAUGUUGCUGGCCUUUAUUUUGCUUUGACACAGUUGACCCACAGAAACAUCUCCCAGAACCAUAAGUUCCAGGCUGUUGGUCUUGGCUGGGCUUUUGCUGAUUCAGUUCUGCACAGGCUUGCACCUCUCUGGAUUGGGGCACGAGGGCUUGAAUUUACUUGGGAGUACAUAUUCCAAGGACUUGAAGCAAAUGCCAAUCUUGUGAUGACCCUCUCCCUUGCUGCAUUAGGAUCCUUGAUGUGGCUGAGGAAGAACAAACCUAGGACUUUAAUUCCAAUAAUUUAUGCAUGUGCUCUGCUUCUGGCAACAAUGCCAUCUAUCACCAGUUACUUGCGGAGAUCAUUGGAGUGGCAGACUCCCAAGGUGGUUGGCUUCGAGCUCUUCUCCUCCUUGGUUAUGGCUUUCAUCAGCUGGCAGCUGUUCUCGGCUUGUCAGAGGCCGAUGUAA